CCAGGCUCUGUCCUCACAGCCUCCACACAGCACCCAUCCGUCUUCCCCUUGAUCCCCUGCUGCAAAGAAGUUAAGACCAAAGCCUCCGUGACCGUGGGCUGCCUGGCCACAGGAUACUUCCCCAUGCCGGUGAACGUGACCUGGGACACAGGCUCCCUCGAUGGGAUCGUUGUGACCCUCCCAGGUACCACCCCCAUGGCCUCUGGCCACUACACCACCACCAGCCAGCUGACCGUCUCGGGUGCAUGGAAGAAGCAGCCGUUCACCUGCAGGGUGGCACACACUCCAUCAUCCCCAGACCCGAUCAAAAAAACCUUCAGAGUCUGCUCCAGGGAUGUCGAAACGCCCACUGUGAAGAUCCUGCAGUCCUCCUGCGACGGCGGCGGACACUUCCCCCCAACCGUCCAGCUCCUGUGCCUCGUUUCCGGAUACACCCCAGGUGACGUCAACAUCACCUGGCUACAGGACGGGCAGGUCGUGGACGUGAACUGGACCGUCUCUGCUCCCAGGCUGGAGGGCAAGCUGGCCUCCAGGCAGAGCGAGCUCAUCCUCACCCAGAAGCGCUGGCUGUCCGACCACACCUACACCUGCCUGGUCGACUAUCAAGGCGAGACCUUGGAGGAAAGUGCCAAGAAGUGUGCAGAUUCCAACCCGAGAGGGGUGAGCGCCUACUUGAGCCGGCCCAGCCCCUUGGACCUGUUCGUCAGCAAAUCCCCCACGAUCACCUGUCUGGUAGUGGACCUGGCGCCCAGCCAGGGGACAGUGAACCUGACCUGGUCCCGUGCCAGUAAGAAGCCUGUGCCCCACGUGAUCCCAAGGCAGCAGAAGCAGCGCAAUGGCACAGUCACCGUCACGUCCACCCUGCCAGUGGGCACCAGAGACUGGAUCGAGGGGGAGACCUACCACUGCAGGGUGACCCACCCCCACCUGCCCAGGGCCCUCGUUCGGUCCAUGACCAAGAUGAGCGGCCCCCGUGCUGCCCCGGAAGUCUACGUGUUUGCAACGCCAGAGGAGCCGGGGAACCCGCACAAGCGCACCCUCACCUGCCUGAUCCAGAACUUCCUGCCCAUGGACAUCUCCGUGCAGUGGCUGCACAACGGGGUGACGCUCCCGCCCUCCCGGCACAGCACCACACCGCCCCACAGGACCAAGGGCCCCGGCUUCUUUGUCUUCAGCCGCCUGGAGGUGACCAGGGCCGAAUGGGAGCAGAAAAACGAGUUCAUCUGCCGUGCGAUCCACGAGGCAGCCAAAGACUCACAGACCGUCGAGAAAGCGGUGUCUGUAAAUCUCGGUAAAUGACGUCCUCCUGCCUCCCUCCCUCCCAGGGCUCCGUCCAGCGGUGCGGUGGGGAGGGCUGGCCAGACCGUCUGUCCACUGUUGCCACGACCCCAGGAAGCUACCCCCAAUAAACAGUGCUUGCUGAGAG